rnacentral:misc_RNA from 1 species
GAAAUGCGAUAAGUAGUGUGAAUUGCAGAAUUUAGUGAAUCAUCGAAUCUUUGAACGCACAUUGCGCCCCCUGGUAUUCCGGGGGGCAUGCCUGUUCGAGCGUCAUUUCACCACUCAAGCCUCGCUUGGUAUUGGGCGACGCGGUCCGCCGCGCGCCUCAAAUCGACCGGCUGGGUCUUUCGUCCCCUCAGCGUUGUGGAAACUAUUCGCUAAAGGGUGCCGCGGGAGGCCACGCCGUAAAACAACCCCAUUUCUAAGGUUGACCUCGGAUCAGGUAGGGAUACCCGCUGACUUAAGC